UACAGAGGGUGCAAGCGUUAAUCGGAAUUACUGGGCGUAAAGGGCGCGUAGGUGGGAUAAUAAGUCGGAUGUGAAAGGCCUGGGCUUAACCUAGGAACUGCAUUUGAUACUGUUAUUCUAGAGUGAAACAGAGGGUGGUGGAAUUUCCGGUGUAGCGGUGAAAUGCGUAGAUAUCGGAAGGAACACCCGUGGCGAAGGCGACCACCUGGGUUUUUACUGACACUGAGGCGCGAAAGCGUGGGUAGCGAAC
rnacentral:rRNA from 1 species